UGGGGAAUCUUAGACAAUGGGCGCAAGCCUGAUCUAGCCAUGCCGCGUGAUCGAUGAAGGCCUUAGGGUUGUAAAGAUCUUUCAGCUGGGAAGAUAAUGACGGUACCAGCAGAAGAAGCCCCGGCUAACUCCGUGCCAGCAGCCGCGGUAAUACGGAGGGGGCUAGCGUUGUUCGGAAUUACUGGGCGUAAAGCGCACGUAGGCGGAUUGGAAAGUCAGAGGUGAAAUCCCAGGGCUCAACCUUGGAACUGCCUUUGAAACUAUCAGUCUAGAGGUCGAGAGAGGUGAGUGGAAUUCCGAGUGUAGAGGUGAAAUUCGUAGAUAUUCGGAGGAACACCAGUGGCGAAGGCGGCUCACUGGCUCGAUACUGACGCUGAGGUGCGAAAGCGUGGGGAGCAAACAGG
rnacentral:rRNA from 1 species